UUUGAACUGAUUUUAAUCAUAAAGUAGUUCAUAGUUUAGUUGUAUUUUGAAUGAAUUGCUUCAAUUUAAUGGGGGAUUCUGGUAUCGUGAUGGCGAGUUCAUCUACAAACUAAGUUUAUGAAAAUUCAAAACGCAAUUCAAGGUAUUCUCUCGUUAAUUCAAUUGAGUCUUAAACCUUACUAUUUACAUUUUAUAUGAUUAAAAUAAAUUUGAUAAUCCGCUUUAUGAUUGGCGAAAUUUCUUAAUCUUUGUUUGAAUUGAAGUGAACUAGAAUUCUACAAACCUUGACUGACACACACACAAUUGCACUUAAUGUUGUUAUCUCUCCCCAACAUUGAACCUUGAUUUUUUUUUUCUUUUUUUGACUUGUUAGCUAUUUGAUUCUAUAACAAUUAUAUAUAGAGGGGAUUUUGCUGCCUCAAUCCUUUUGAGCAUCUAAACCUCCCUGCUAGAUAUUAAUAGACCAACAAAGAAAAGGACACCAUCCUGAUACACUUACAGAGCCAAUUCCUCCAUACCGUCAAAUCACAUGAAUCAUGAAAUAUCUAGUCACAGAAUGAGCAACAUAUGUAAUCGUAGGCUUUAGACAAACUUACAUCAAUUGAUAAACCCAGGAUCAUUGGACCUUAGUCUAUCAUUAAUUGACAAUGAGAACACCAUCCAUAAUUAUUUCUCCAGGCAUCAAUGCUACCUUGCUCUUCUGAUAAAUAAGAUGAUCCAUGACAGCUUUAGGCAUAAGUGAAAACAGUUUAAAUAUAAGUAUAUAACCAGUGCUAGGACUGAUGGGUCUAGUGAAGUUUCAUAUGUGCUGUUUUCUUUAUAUCGUUAUAGGAUCCUUUAUAAUGACAUCUUUGUAAGACUUAUUGACUUAGUCUUCACAAACUAUCCCUAUAAAGAGACACCACCAAAUAAUGAAAAUCAUUUUAUUCAUACUCAAGAUGUCAAACUGUUUUAACUGGAUUCAACCCGAAGAAAAACACUUUAGGCAGUGCUGUUGUUUCUCACUGUUCAAUUAAUGAUAAGGUCCAAGCCAACAGCUCUAAGAGCCAGGUAAUGUGAAGCAAGCUCAAAGGUACAUCUUGAUGCUGCAUAUGACCUGCUCUAGUGUGUCUGCCUUCACUUCAAAAAUUCUGUUGUAUUUCUGAAGCUAUAGUGGUCCACAAUAACAUGGAAGAUCUCUUUCCAGAACAACUGCUAUUAUGCCCUCCUAUAUAUAGGGAAACCUGAUAAAGAAAAGAGUUCAUCUGAUAACUUCCACAAACUCGUUGUGAGGCUACAUUCAACAAAGAUAUCCUGGAUGGCCUCUUCCUCCCUUAAGCACAUAAUACACUGGUCAUAAUUUACCCCUGCCUUAGGUUAUCUGCAGUCAAAGUGCAAUCCUUGAUUGACUUUCUCUGUAAACUCCUACCCAUAUCACAUUUGCAUCAAAUCCCAAGCUUUGAUUGGGAACUCCACUUUAAGCAAAAUAUGCAUCUUCAAAGCUGAUCUACUAGUUGCUACACUACUGUUAUUAUUUUUAUUUUUCCUGAAAUGACAACUUAAUAAUCAAGUGCACUGACAACAGACUUCUUCUAGCUUCUAAGUGAUUAGCAACUGUGGUUUAACUGAUAUGUUUUGAUAGUUGUUGAUGUAGACAAGUUUGAUUUAUUCAGAUAGUGCUGUAUUAACAGUUUCUUUAUUUUUCCUGAUGCUCAGAUUUGGAGGGCAAAGUGGAAGAAUUGGUAUAUUGUCCUGCUCAUAUUGAUUUAAACCCCAAAAUUUAAUACUUUUACACUACGUUAGAAAUGAACUAUGUUUGAGAUACUUGUGGACGUUGAUCAGAUGUUCUAGCGACUCAUCUAGUUUACUAAGUGAUUUGUGAAAGCUUUUCUUUGUGGUUCCAUACAUUGUUUUUCUGAGGAAGCCACACAACAUCUAAUUAGGUAAAGCAAGACCAACUCCUCUAGUGAUUUAUAUGGAAAGUAUUUUUCUUUCAGUGUGCUUGUAGUUUUUAUUUUUUUUUGGCAGCAUCAAAUUUAUUUUUGUUGAAGUUGUGCUAUUUACCACACAAGAAAAGGUGAACAAGAUGAUUCUUUUUAUUAUUAAUUCUUUUUCAUCUUUAAAAAGAAAAUUAUAGUGUAACCUCCCUCUUAUCAUUUAUAUCUAUGAUUGUUUAGUGUUAUGAUAUAAUCUUAUUAUAAAUUCUUAUGGAUGGUAGAAUGUGUGAAUGCUCAUUGAGAAACAUGUUUUUUUGUUAAAAUAUUGUGUAUCCCAUUUCUAGGCUGGUUAAAAGCCUGCCAUGCGCACUGCCCAGAAACCAGAGUGGA
rnacentral:lncRNA from 1 species